UACGGGGGGAGCAAACGUUGUUCGGAAUUACUGGGCGUAAAGCGUGCGCAGGCGGUUUUGUAAGCCAGAUGUGAAAUCCCCGGGCUUAACCUGGGAAUGGCAUUUGGGACUGCAAGGCUGGAGUGUGGCAGAGGAGACUGGAAUUCCUGGUGUAGCAGUGAAAUGCGUAGAUAUCAGGAGGAAUACCGAUGGCGAAGGCAGGUCUCUGGGCUGACACUGACGCUCAUGCACGAAAGCGUGGGGAGCAAACAGG
rnacentral:rRNA from 1 species